rnacentral:piRNA from 1 species
CNCACAUGCACAGCGACCAGGUUAUGCUC